rnacentral:rRNA from 1 species
ACUCCUGCGGGAGGCAGCAGUAGGGAAUCUUCGGCAAUGGGGGCAACCCUGACCGAGCAACGCCGCGUGAGUGAAGAAGGUUUUCGGAUCGUAAAGCUCUGUUGUAAGUCAAGAACGAGUGUGAGAGUGGAAAGUUCACACUGUGACGGUAGCUUACCAGAAAGGGACGGCUAACUACGUGCCAGCAGCCGCGGUAAUACGUAGGUCCCGAGCGUUGUCCGGAUUUAUUGGGCGUAAAGCGAGCGCAGGCGGUUUGAUAAGUCUGAAGUUAAAGGCUGUGGCUCAACCAUAGUUCGCUUUGGAAACUGUCAAACUUGAGUGCAGAAGGGGAGAGUGGAAUUCCAUGUGUAGCGGUGAAAUGCGUAGAUAUAUGGAGGAACACCGGUGGCGAAAGCGGCUCUCUGGUCUGUAACUGACGCUGAGGCUCGAAAGCGUGGGGAGCGAACAUGAUUAGAUACCCCGGUAGUCCCAUGA